AUUGAGGAAGUUGUGGAGGGCAUCCUGGAAUGGCUCAACUUGCCGCUGGAGCCCAGCACGAAGGAGGAGACCCUACGUGCUCACUGGCAGGCACCAACACCCACAUGGUCGUGCCCAUGCUGCUCAACAAGCCCCUGCCUUGGGAUAGAACCAAUCUGGCCCUGUGGAAGGCGUUCGGCACCCAGCGAGAGACCACAAUCAACGUCCUGCAGCUGCUCAUAGACAUCCUGGAAAAGCUCCACUCCAGAAGGGAAACGAGGAAGAUGGCCUUCCAGACUGUGGUGGUCAGCAUGAGGGAAGAGAGGGAGCCUAGGAAUUACUGUUUGGGGCCUUGGGGGCAGAGCUGAAGAUCAAGGGACAGCUGCAGGAUGGAAGCCAAUCUUAGGGAGGAGCAAAGAGGAGAGGUUAACACUGGAAUCACUAAUACCCUACAUUCGAUGAGCACUUUACCCACCUUUUUGCACCUAUAUGUCUAAGAGCUGCAUGAUGUAGAAAGAGCAGAGAUCAAUCCCAUUUUCUGGACAGGAAAUUGACAUUCAGAGUUAAUCAUCUUUUCUAUCUCCUGAUUCUGGGGCUGGCACUCAUUUUUUCAGGGCCUGGAGUGUGGCAUGGGAGUUGGGGAUGGGAGGAGCUUUGGUUGCCUGAAACUGGGGUGGCCAAAGUAUGUCCGAAAUCAUUUUCUGCUGAAAAUUUGGAGUUUGUUCCCAUUUUGUUUUUAAUGCCAGGGAAGUUGCAUGUGUGUGGCCCCCUCUUUUCCCUAGGGAUGAGCGGUGGGCUUUCACUCUUUGGGUGCUUCUUACAAGCCUGAGUGAGAGUGAGCUGCACCCUUUGGGCAGUGACAGGGAGGGAAGGGUGAGACUCAGUGUGUGGGACUGUGGACCAUUUUAUGCCUUCACUCACGCCUGGUCAAUUCUGCUUCCCUCCUUCCAUCGUGUCCUCUCCCAGGUAGCAUGUGCCUUGUGUGAAAUGCUAUCAGGGUCCUUAUGCCAGGAGGCCAUCCAAGAACUCUGUCCUCGGCUGUGCUGGCUGUGCUAUGUCAUCUCUACUGGGUGACUGAGCAAAAUGUUCCCACAAAGAUAGUGGUCUACAGCAAAGAGGGGGGCCCAGGAGGCAAGAGGAAGCCCUUUGACCCCACUAGGUAAGCCUAACCCCUGUGUGAUGGAGGAAUGAGACUAGUUAAUUCCUGAGGGCCCUGGACAACUGGAUGCUGAUCCCCUAGGAAUGCUGAGAAAGAGAAAGCAGAAGAGUGGAAGAAUAUCUAGCAUCAUGUGCUAGAAUAUUCUUGCAUAUUCUCAAGUCUCUCAUUAAUCUUUUUCUUGCCUGCACUCUUCUACUGAUUCACUCAGUGGUUCAUAUCCAUGGUCAUAACUCUGCACAUGAGGAGAUUCAAUUAGGUGGUAAAUGACCGGACAAGACCAUGUCUGUGUCAUUCUCUCCAUGCAGUUGUGGCCAUUUGAAUCAGGUUGACUGCUGGCUUGGCUUUGUCACUAGCUGUGCCAUUUUGUGCAAGUCACUACUAGAAUUCAGUUUUCUCACCUGUAAAAUGGGAGUUGGACUCCUAAAUCAGUGGUUGUCAUACUUUUUUUCUUUAAACCUCAGGACAUUCUAGUCAAAUGAAAUUGUAUAUGAAAAUGAAAACCAAUAAAACCAGUAAGCAGAGACA
rnacentral:lncRNA from 1 species